rnacentral:rRNA from 1 species
AUUAAACGCUGGCGGCAUGCCUUACACAUGCAAGUCGAACGGUAACAGGUUAAGCUGACGAGUGGCGAACGGGUGAGUAAUAUAUCGGAACGUGCCCGGUCGUGGGGGAUAACGUAGCGAAAGCUACGCUAAUACCGCAUACGAUCUACGGAUGAAAGCGGGGGGAUCGCAAGACCUCGCGCGAUUGGAGCGGCCGAUAUCAGAUUAGGUUGUUGGUGAGGUAAAAGCUCACCAAGACUGCGAUCUGUAGCUGGUCUGAGAGGACGACCAGCCACACUGGAACUGAGACACGGUCCAGACUCCUACGGGAGGCAGCAGUGGGGAAUUUUGGACAAUGGACGCAAGUCUGAUCCAGCAAUGCCGCGUGCAGGACGAAGGCCUUCGGGUUGUAAACUGCUUUUGUACGGAAUGAAACGGUGAGCUCUAAUACAGUUUGCUAAUGACGGUACCGUAAGAAUAAGCACCGGCUAACUACGUGCCAGCCGCCGCCGUAA